GCCCACGGGCGGAGCGCCCACCCGAGCCGGGGAGCGCGUCUCGGCCCGUCGACUCUGAACAGUAUGGGGUGUGGAGCUUCUGGUUCCCAUUUUGUAGAUGUGGAAAUUGAGACGCAGAAGUUAACGUGCACAAGGUAACAGUGAAAAUGAAGGCUGAAGAUACUUUUGUGGAGUGACUUUGCAGCCACAGAACAGACAAACUUAGAUUUAUAGUUUUGAUUUAAUGUACAGGGGACUGUCUGUUUGAGGGGCUCCUGUCCUCAACUUGAUUUGUUCAAAGUUCUGACAGUGACUUAUUUGAAGGUAAAGCAUGGUACUCCAAGCUGGUAGCAGCAACUUGGGUCUGUGUCUUCCUUGACCUAUAAGAUGGAAGUUAUGCUUCUGUCUUUCAACAGAAGUAUAUCCCAGAAAAGUUUGAGAAGCACUAAUAUAGUGCACAGAACACUUGCAUUGACAUCUUGUGCAGUCACCAGCCUAGGUGAUACUGGCCAAUUAACUUUUUUCAACCAUAGUGUCCUCUUCUGUAAAAUUAGAAUAACUAGUAAUUGGUGUAGACAUAAGCGCUGAAAACAGAGGCAAAGAAACUAGUUCAAAGGAACAGGCCCAAGAGAGAUAGUAGGACAGCUAAUUCAUGUAAUCUAAUGAGUUUGAGUAAAAUGCACUUGGGAGAAUUAUUGUGGAAGAGACUGGGAAGGUAGGUAGGGGCUAGGUCAUAUUCCAAGUUCAAAGGAAUUUGGACCCAAUCCAUAGUUUACUACUAGAAUACUAAAAGAAGGCCAGAUUUAGCUGACUUUUCUUGAGGCUUCAAUAAGCCAUACUUUGGGCUGUGGGCAUUUGGAGGUAGAUAGGGACUAGUUAGAGGCUGUUAGAACAGGCCAUGUGAGAGAUGAGGACCAGGACUCAAGCGGUGGGGAAGUUUUGCUGAGCUUGUUUUACUAGCUAACAUUUGCAUAGCCCUUUGCAAGCCACAAAAAUUUAAUUAAACUUCUUAAUGACAUUAUUAAUUUUAUCUUCACAACAAUAAAGGAGGUUAAGUACUACAGCCUCUAUUUUUCAGAUAAAGGCUUGGAGAGGCUAAAUAAUUUGCCAAAGAUUGCCCAGCUAGAAAAAAAA